AACUUGAAAUAGAAGAUCCAGUGAAACUCGACAGCGGCCAGUACGUGUGCCGAGUGCAAAAUCGUAUUGCAAAUGUAGAAGUUUAUCGACAGAUAACAAUAAAAGAAGAGAAACGAGUACCUGUAGGUCUGAUCAUUUUACUCAUCAUAUUAGCUAUAAUUGCUCGACAAUUGUGCUUUUCAAUAUCUCGCUACAUUUGUCGUAGUUCAUUUUGCGAUCAAAGAUCCCCAUAAAAAGGAUAAUGAGAAAGAUCUCCUCCCUUACGAUAACAAAUGGGAAUUUCAAAGUGAAAAAUUGGAAUUAGGCGAAGUUGGCGCACGCUUGUAAUGUUCCGUCAGAGAUCAAUGGAGAGACCGGCAACACUCGGAUUUUACUGGUUCGCUGUGACACGACGGAACUCGUCAAAAAGCAUACAGUGGGCAUCGUAUUUCAGAAGAAUUUAAGAACCUUUUCCAGCGUUGGAAGGAGAUUCAACAUUCAGAAAAAGAAUUCUAACUGCAAAAGAAGAUUACCUUCGAAUUUUCCUUCUCGGCUCGGGUGGAGCCCUACUGGCUGUUCGAAAAUUCAUUUGCGCGCUCAGUUUUUAUAAUGCUUUCUAUGAUGGAGUCACUUUUUUCAACUUACUCGCAAAUUGAAAAAUGGAACUUUAUUAAUUACGAACAAAUGUCACUUAUAAUUGCUGUAUUAUGUAGCAGCUUAUCCAUUGACGAAAAUCAAAACUUGAAUUGUAAAAAUCGAGUAAUUAGAGGAUGAGAAAGGUACAUAUUAUUCACUAUUAAAUGUUUGUUUUCUUAGGAAUCAUUUGGCGACACCUGCGAAAGUCUUAUGUUGGAUAUCGGGCGAAUUGAAUAAAACACUGUUGUAUAUUA